rnacentral:tRNA from 1 species
GCCUGGGUGGCUUAGUGGCUGGGCACCUGCCUUCAGCUCAGGGCGUGAUCCCAGAGUCCCGGGAUCGAGUCCUGCCUCAGGCU